AUUGAACGCUGGCGGCAUGCUUUACACAUGCAAGUCGAACGGCAGCGCGGGCUUCGGCCUGGCGGCGAGUGGCGAACGGGUGAGUAAUACAUCGGAACGUGCCCAGUAGUGGGGGAUAGCUCGGCGAAAGCCGGAUUAAUACCGCAUACGACCUGAGGGUGAAAGCGGUGGAUCUUCGGACCUCGCGCUAUUGGAGCUGCCGAUGGCAGAUUAGCUAGUUGGUGGGGUAAAGGCCUACCAAGGCGACGAUCUGUAGCUGGUCUGAGAGGACGACCAGCCACACUGGGACUGAGACACGGCCCAGACUCCUACGGGAGGCAGCAGUGGGGAAUUUUGGACAAUGGGCGAAAGCCUGAUCCAGCAAUGCCGCGUGUGUGAUGAAGGCCUUCGGGUUGUAAAGCACUUUUGGCGGGAACGAAAAGGACUGUGCAAAUACCACGGUUCGAUGACGGUACCCGCAGAAUAAGCACCGGCUAACUACGUG
rnacentral:rRNA from 1 species